UGUUUCACUAUGUUGGGGUGAUCCGAGCCA
rnacentral:piRNA from 1 species